ACAUAUAUAGCAUGCAUGAUUGACUUGAGAAUUUGUAAGAAUUUUGUUGAGCUUCUUGCCACAAGAAUGUUUCUUGAUAAUAUUGUAUGUUGUAGAACUGCUCAACUUGGGAUGGCUAUGAGAAAAAUCCUUGAUACAGAAGCAUACAUGAUCCAGGUCUUCUCACCAACAGCUUUGUCUCCAUUGCCCAACUUUCUAACAAGAACAUCAAAAAGAACAAAAAAACUAUUAAAAUAAUAACACAACUCAGGAGCUCAACCCUCACAUAUUUCAUUCAUUCUAGUUAUAUUAUUUUUUGAAAAAAACUACAAAGCACUCACUUCUUGUUUCCGAACAGGCACAGUAUGACAAAAAAAAGACUGUCGUCUUUUCUGUUCUAGAAAGCCAAGCCAUUCUGAUGCUAAUUAAGUUCCACCAAACAACUUCGGGAUUUAGCCUUACCUAAACUUUGGCCUGCUAAGGAGAGAUUUAACGCAACAAAUAUCACUAACUGGAAUUAGAUGGUACAAAGUUAUAAGAAAAGAAAAAAGAAGUCGCUUGGAAGAAAAUGUAAAGAUAAAACUAUUAUUUAUUGAAGAAUAGUGUAGCAAAAACAUAAGUCCAUUGAGCACACCUCCAUAGAACAAACAGAUUGUCUCUCGAACUGCAGUUUGAAAGCCCCUCAAGUUGUCCCUGUGCUAUGAUGUAAUCAGUACAAUUAUUGUCACACAAGGAUUAUUGCUAGUAUAGUUUAGCAAAACUACCAACAUAGAAGCACAACAAAGUGGGUAAUGGAAUCAGAGUUAAAUAUGUAUACUUACUCUGUAGCGCAAAAUAACAAAUGCCUAUAUAGGGCAUGUAGAGUUAGCAAAAAACCAUUCUAGUUGAACGGAAUGGGGGAUCAAACAAUAAGAAACUUCAAAGCGUAUUAGCUCUCUCUCUCUCUCUCUCUCUCUCUCUCUAUAUAUAUAUAUAUAUAUAUAUAUAUAUAUAUAUAUAUAUAUAUAUAUAUAUAUAUAUAUAUAUAUUGCUCAAAUCAAAACUAAGAAUGAACAAAGGAAAUAUCCAUUGGCUAGCUCCCAGAUUGAGUUAAUUUAAAACUGCACACAAAUUCUCUUACCAAAUUAACAUGUAUGACAAAAAACCGAAGCAUACCAUAAAUUAAACUGUCUAUUUUAUGAUGCAAGCAAGUGGCGGCUACUCAGUUCUUGUAAAUUUUAAGCAAAUUGACCAACAACAUUUUUCCCAAAUUAGAAGGAAUACAAUUGUUAGUUCUCACCAUGGCGACUACAUAAUUUGGAUUGGAGCUUGUGAACUUACAUUAUUUGCAUACAUAUAGUAGUGUUAGUCACGGAUGGAGAAGGCCAGAAGUGGAGGAACAUGAAAUGGCAUAAGUAGGAUCCGUAGAUUUAAAAAAUUCAAACUAUGGAGUUUAAUGCAAUGAGGUGAAAUAAGCAAAACUAACCGCUAAUAGAAUUGUUGAAUUAAACAAUAAAAUUAGAACCGUGAUUGUCAUAAGUUAUGAUCAGAAAAUAUGACCUUACAAAAAUGGACCAUGCAACCUUACUUUUAGAAAUGUGCACACAAAUCCAAUGUAAAUUGGGGUAGUGGUAAUAGAUAAACCACUUUGUCGUGCCUGGAGAUUCCCCGUACCAGGAAAAUAAAGGGUAUGUGCAAUUGUUGUUCCGUUCGCCUUUGGUAGUUCAAUCAACCCAGAAACUUGCUCCAGCGGAAGGUUCACUACCUUGAGGUGGCCUCUAAUUGCCGCAGUUAUCAGAGGAGUCACAUUUUGAUUGGCCAAACAUUUUCGCAAGGGAUGGGUCAUGGUCCAGGAGUACUUCACUAUAUCUACAAGCAGUGUCAGAUGUCCAACUUUCUGUAUUACCACGGUAAAGAUGAAACAACAUGAAUGAGAGACUAACUCUUGCCCAUUAGCUUGUUAAGGCAACGACACAGUUGAGUUAUUACACAGAGCAGGUAAAUUUCAACACUGGAAAACAAAUAACAAUAGGAUCCAUGGAGAUUAAUCGAAGAGUAGAUUAAGAACACAUAAAACCUUGGCUGCCCAUAAAACCAUGGCUAUCAAUUAAUUUAGGAAUUCAUAUCAGUCUUAUAUAUAUGCAUGAUCCCCGAGAAACAGUGAUCCAUGAGGCCAUGACUAAGCAUCCCUCCCCAUCUUUUGUGGAGCAAACAGAUAACUUUAGCAUCUACACACUUUUGAUUUUGCUGAACUAUUUGUGCACAAAAUUGGAAACUACAGACAAAGGGGUCAACAAUCGUGGCAUACACCAUACAGUAGCAAUCGUUGUUUGCUACACACCUUUGAUUCAGCGAUUUAGUGCUAGUCACGUGGUUCAGCAAGAUGGCAUCCACAAGAAACAUAAAGCAUCUAAAAACAAUGCAAAUCCAAGAAGGUACAUGGAAGGAGAUAGCUUACGUGUUACGCGGAUGAAGCUGCUGCCUAUUGAUGGUUAGAUUGUAGUCUAGACACAAGGUCCAAAGCUCCCAUGUUACCAUGUAAAAAUAUGAGAAAAAAC
rnacentral:lncRNA from 1 species